AUACUGUUCUAGCCUAAAUAGAUUCAUGUCUAAUGUUCUUAAGGUAAAUAAUAUAAAGGAAUGAAAAUGGAACACAACCUAUCAUAUUAAUGAUGUUGAACCAUGUUGGGGAAAUGGUAGUGAGAGAGAAAAAUAAUUUGAGAGCACCCCAUUGCCUGGUGCGCUCUCACAGGGAGGGCCUCCUUGGGGUCCCAUCGGCCAGACAGUGUCGGCUGGCGACUCUCAGGGAGCGGGCCUUCUCUGUGGGCGUACCUACUCUGUGGAAUCAGCUCCCCCGGAGCUCCGGAUGGCCCCUGAUCUUCGCUCUUUCCACCAUGACCUCAAAACAUGGCUAUUUGGCGUGGCCGGAUUGGACUGAAGGGUUUUUUAAAGGUUUUUUGUAUUGGUUUUUAUAUUUGAAUACUGAAUUUUAUGUGUUUUUUAUCGUUGUGAGCUGCCCUGAGUCCUUUGGGAGAGAAGGCGGCAUACAAGUUUAAUAAAAUAAAUAAAUAAAUAAUGUUCAGAUGUGUCCAUUGGAAAAAAUCACUUGCUGCUAGUUUUUAUCUGAGAAAUGCUGGAGAAUAUGUUUCUACUAGGGAGUUUAAGCUAUGUUUAGCCUCAGAGGUUGGAUACUUUUCCACUUCAAAUAUUGGUCAUUGAAUGGCUUUGAUGAUAAUAUAGUGAAUCUUCUACCCCCCACAUUAAUAUGAUGUGCUAUAGUGAAGUCUAAUAAGGUAACUAAAAGGCACUAGCCAUCAAUGCUUUUCAACUUUAUACUUCACAGUGGACUAUGAGACUCAAAACCAGUUGGAAGGAACAUGCCUGCUGUCAAGAAUAUGGCUUCAAGCUGUUGUCAUAGCAACUGUCUCUGUCCAGUAGGAUCACAAUGGCUCUGAGAGUCCCCAGCCCCUACUCAGUCAUUUUUACCACUUCAGCUGUAGUAAUUCCGAAGCCCCUUAUACCAGAUGUCUAUACAACCUCUAUAAGAGAAAUGCCAAAUGAAAAAAUAAAAGUUUUCAUUUUUAGUGUCAGCAAAUGGCAGGGAGGCAUGAGAUCAGAUAGCUGAUUUAAGAUUGUUAGCGAAGAAAGCAAUAGAACUGAAGAAGAUUGCCUUUGAUUAUUUAGAUCAUGCCAGAAUGUGGAACGUGUAAGGGUUAAGAGUAUGCCAGAUGAUCUGAUCAUUCUCCUUGGGCAUCUUAACAUGCAGAGUUAAUCAUCUUUAUGGGAAGCCAACAGGAAAGACUGGAAAUAGUGAUCAUAUGACUGUAGCUCCCUGCAGUGUUGUAAUUGUGAGCUGGGUACCUGAGCAAUUGGAUUGUGAUCACUUGACUGGCUGCGAUAUCCAGAAUGUCAAGGAUAAGUGGUACAUCCUUUCCCCCCACCCCCAACACUGCCAUAAUUGUAAAUGGUUGUUCAACAAAUAGAUGUAAGUGGAGGGC